AACGAACGCUGGCGGCAUGCCUAACACAUGCAAGUCGAACGAGACCUUCGGGUCUAGUGGCGCACGGGUGCGUAACGCGUGGGAACCUGCCCUUAGGUUCGGAAUAACUCCCCGAAAGGGGUGCUAAUACCAGAUAAUGUCUUCGGACCAAAGAUUUAUCGCCUUUGGAUGGGCCCGCGUUGGAUUAGCUAGUUGGUAGGGUAAAAGCCUACCAAGGCGACGAUCCAUAGCUGGUCUGAGAGGAUGAUCAGCCACACUGGGACUGAGACACGGCCCAGACUCCUACGGGAGGCAGCAGUGGGGAAUAUUGGACAAUGGGCGAAAGCCUGAUCCAGCAAUGCCGCGUGAGUGAUGAAGGCCUUAGGGUUGUAAAGCUCUUUUACCCGGGAUGAUAAUGACAGUACCGGGAGAAUAAGCUCCGGCGAACUCCGU
rnacentral:rRNA from 1 species